UACGGGGGGGGCAAGCGUUGUUCGGAAUUACUGGGCGUAAAGGGCUCGUAGGCGGCCAACUAGGUCAGACGUGAAAUCCCUCGGCUUAACCGGGGAACUGCGUCUGAUACUGGAUGGCUUGAAUCCGGGAGAGGGAUGCGGAAUUCCAGGUGUAGCGGUGAAAUGCGUAGAUAUCUGGAGGAACACCGGUGGCGAAGGCGGCAUCCUGGACCGGCAUUGACGCUGAGGCGCGAAAGCCAGGGGAGCAAACGGG
rnacentral:rRNA from 1 species